AAAAAAAUGUAUAUUGUGACUUAUAUUGUGCAAUUUGGAAGGUCUUGCAGAAACAACAUCAAGCGAUUGAUGAAAACGACGAACAUCAUCCGAUUCCCGGAUUCAAAUCGCUCGAAUCCGACGGAAAAAAUAACAAUAUAUGGCAGGAAAAACUUCACCGAACAGAGCCUGGGAUCAACAGUUGCAACCAAGCAAUGCUGCUC